rnacentral:rRNA from 1 species
AUAAUGGGUCAGCGACUUAUAUUCUGUAGCAAGGUUAACCGAAUAGGGGAGCCGAAGGGAAACCGAGUCUUAACUGGGCGUUAAGUUGCAGGGUAUAGACCCGAAACCCGGUGAUCUAGCCAUGGGCAGGUUGAAGGUUGGGUAACACUAACUGGAGGACCGAACCGACUAAUGUUGAAAAAUUAGCGGAUGACUUGUGGCUGGGGGUGAAAGGCCAAUCAAACCGGGAGAUAGCUGGUUCUCCCCGAAAGCUAUUUAGGUAGCGCCUCGUGAAUUCAUCUCCGGGGGUAGAGCACUGUUUCGGCAAGGGGGUCAUCCCGACUUACCAACCCGAUGCAAACUGCGAAUACCGGAGAAUGUUAUCACGGGAGACACACGGCGGGUGCUAACGUCCGUCGUGAAGAGGGAAACAACCCAGACCGCCAGCUAAGGUCCCAAAGUCAUGGUUAAGUGGGAAACGAUGUGGGAAGGCCCAGACAGCCAGGAUGUUGGCUUAGAAGCAGCCAUCAUUUAAAGAAAGCGUAAUAGCUCACUGGUCGAGUCGGCCUGCGCGGAAGAUGUAACGGGGCUAAACCAUGCACCGAAGCUGCGGCAGCGACGCUUAUGCGUUGUUGGGUAGGGGAGCGUUCUGUAAGCCUGCGAAGGUGUGCUGUGAGGCAUGCUGGAGGUAUCAGAAGUGCGAAUGCUGACAUAAGUAACGAUAAAGCGGGUGAAAAGCCCGCUCGCCGGAAGACCAAGGGUUCCUGUCCAACGUUAAUCGGGGCAGGGUGAGUCGACCCCUAAGGCGAGGCCGAAAGGCGUAGUCGAUGGGAAACAGGUUAAUAUUCCUGUACUUGGUGUUACUGCGAAGGGGGGACGGAGAAGGCUAUGUUGGCCGGGCGACGGUUGUCCCGGUUUAAGCGUGUAGGCUGGUUUUCCAGGCAAAUCCGGAAAAUCAAGGCUGAGGCGUGAUGACGAGGCACUACGGUGCUGAAGCAACAAAUGCCCUGCUUCCAGGAAAAGCCUCUAAGCAUCAGGUAACAUCAAAUCGUACCCCAAACCGACACAGGUGGUCAGGUAGAGAAUACCAAGGCGCUUGAGAGAACUCGGGUGAAGGAACUAGGCAAAAUGGUGCCGUAACUUCGGGAGAAGGCACGCUGAUAUGUAGGUGAAGUCCCUCGCGGAUGGAGCUGAAAUCAGUCGAAGAUACCAGCUGGCUGCAACUGUUUAUUAAAAACACAGCACUGUGCAAACACGAAAGUGGACGUAUACGGUGUGACGCCUGCCCGGUGCCGGAAGGUUAAUUGAUGGGGUCAGCGCAAGCGAAGCUCUUGAUCGAAGCCCCGGUAAACGGCGGCCGUAACUAUAACGGUCCUAAGGUAGCGAAAUUCCUUGUCGGGUAAGUUCCGACCUGCACGAAUGGCGUAAUGAUGGCCAGGCUGUCUCCACCCGAGACUCAGUGAAAUUGAACUCGCUGUGAAGAUGCAGUGUACCCGCGGCAAGACGGAAAGACCCCGUGAACCUUUACUAUAGCUUGACACUGAACAUUGAGCCUUGAUGUGUAGGAUAGGUGGGAGGCUUUGAAGUGUGGACGCCAGUCUGCAUGGAGCCGACCUUGAAAUACCACCCUUUAAUGUUUGAUGUUCUAACGUGGACCCGUGAUCCGGGUUGCGGACAGUGUCUGGUGGGUAGUUUGACUGGGGCGGUCUCCUCCUAAAGAGUAACGGAGGAGCACGAAGGUUGGCUAAUCCUGGUCGGACAUCAGGAGGUUAGUGCAAUGGCAUAAGCCAGCUUGACUGCGAGCGUGACGGCGCGAGCAGGUGCGAAAGCAGGUCAUAGUGAUCCGGUGGUUCUGAAUGGAAGGGCCAUCGCUCAACGGAUAAAAGGUACUCCGGGGAUAACAGGCUGAUACCGCCCAAGAGUUCAUAUCGACGGCGGUGUUUGGCACCUCGAUGUCGGCUCAUCACAUCCUGGGGCUGAAGUAGGUCCCAAGGGUAUGGCUGUUCGCCAUUUAAAGUGGUACGCGAGCUGGGUUUAGAACGUCGUGAGACAGUUCGGUCCCUA